rnacentral:rRNA from 1 species
UCCUCCUUUUUUCAGCAGUUUUUUAUAUUUCACAAUGGGGUGAACCCUGAUGCAGCGACGCCGCGUGUGCGAUGGAGUGCUUCGGCAUGUAAAGCCCUAUCAGCAGGGAAGAAAAUGACGGUACCUGACUAAGAAGCCCCGGCUAAAUACGUGCCAGCAGCCGCGGUAAUACGUAUGGGGCAAGCGUUAUCCGGAUUUACUGGGUGUAAAGGGAGCGUAGGCGGCCUGGCAAGCCUGAUGUGAAAUACCGGGGCCCAACCCCGGGGCUGCAUUGGGAACUGCCAGGCUGGAGUGCCGGAGAAGUA